rnacentral:tRNA from 1 species
GCGGAUGUAGCCAAGUGGAUCAAGGCAGUGGAUUGUAUUGUAAAUCCGCCACACGUGGGUUCAAUUCCCAUCGUUUGCC